rnacentral:rRNA from 1 species
UACGGAGGGGGCUAGCGUUGUUCGGAAUUACUGGGCGUAAAGCGCACGUAGGCGGAUUGUUAAGUCAGGGGUGAAAUCCUGGAGCUCAACUCCAGAACUGCCUUUGAUACUGGCAAUCUAGAGUCCGGAAGAGGUGAGUGGAACUCCUAGUGUAGAGGUGGAAUUCGUAGAUAUUAGGAAGAACACCAGUGGCGAAGGCGGCUCACUGGUCCGGUACUGACGCUGAGGUGCGAAAGCGUGGGAGCAAACAGG